CCAACCUCCCACCCGUGUUUAUUUUACCUUGUUGCUUCGGCGGGCCCGCCUUAACUGGCCGCCGGGGGGCUUACGCCCCCGGGCCCGCGCCCGCCGAAGACACCCUCGAACUCUGUCUGAAGAUUGUAGUCUGAGUGAAAAUAUAAAUUAUUUAAAACUUUCAACAACGGAUCUCUUGGUUCCGGCAUCGAUGAAGAACGCAGCGAAAUGCGAUACGUAAUGUGAAUUGCAAAUUCAGUGAAUCAUCGAGUCUUUGAACGCACAUUGCGCCCCCUGGUAUUCCGGGGGGCAUGCCUGUCCGAGCGUCAUUGCUGCCCUCAAGCACGGCUUGUGUGUUGGGCCCCGUCCUCCGAUCCCGGGGGACGGGCCCGAAAGGCAGCGGCGGCACCGCGUCCGGUCCUCGAGCGUAUGGGGCUUUGUCACCCGCUCUGUAGGCCCGGCCGGCGCUUGCCGAUCAACCCAAAUUUUUAUCCAGGUUGACCUCGGAUCAGGUAGGGAUACCCGCUGAACUUAAGCAUAUCAAUAAGCGGAGGAAUA
rnacentral:misc_RNA from 1 species